rnacentral:rRNA from 1 species
GAUGAACGCUGGCGGCGUGCCUAAUACAUGCAAGUCGAGCGAACAGACGAGGAGCUUGCUCCUCUGACGUUAGCGGCGGACGGGUGAGUAACACGUGGAUAACCUACCUAUAAGACUGGGAUAACUUCGGGAAACCGGAGCUAAUACCGGAUAAUAUAUUGAACCGCAUGGUUCAAUAGUGAAAGACGGUUUUGCUGUCACUUAUAGAUGGAUCCGCGCCGCAUUAGCUAGUUGGUAAGGUAACGGCUUACCAAGGCAACGAUGCGUAGCCGACCUGAGAGGGUGAUCGGCCACACUGGCACUGAGACACGGUCCAGACUCCUACGGGAGGCAGCAGUAGGGAAUCUUCCGCAAUGGGCGAAAGCCUGACGGAGCAGCGCCGCGUGAGUGAUGAAGGUCUUCGGAUCGUAAAACUCUGUUAUUAGGGAAGAACAAAUGUGUAAGUAACUAUGCACGUCUUGACGGUACCUAAUCAGAAAGCCACGGCUAACUACGUG